AUUGAACGCUGGCGGCAUGCUUUACACAUGCAAGUCGAACGGUAACGCGGGGCAACCUGGCGACGAGUGGCGAACGGGUGAGUAAUGCAUCGGAACGUGCCCGGUAGUGGGGGAUAACUGCUCGAAAGAGCAGCUAAUACCGCAUACGACCUGAGGGUGAAAGGGGGGGAUCGCAAGACCUCUCGCUAUUGGAGCGGCCGAUGUCGGAUUAGCUAGUUGGUGGGGUAAGGGCCCACCAAGGCGACGAUCCGUAGCUGGUCUGAGAGGACGACCAGCCACACGGGGACUGAGACACCGCCCAGACUCCUACGGGAGGCAGCAAUGGGGAAUUUUGGACAAUGGACGCAAGUCUGAUCCAGCCAUGCCGCGUGCGGGAAGAAGGCCUUCGGGUUGUAAACCGCUUUUGUCAGAGAAGAAAUCUUCUGGGUUAAUACCUCGGGAGGAUGACGGUAUCUGAAGAAUAAGCACCGGCUAACUACGUGCCAGCCGCCGCAGUAACAC
rnacentral:rRNA from 1 species